AGUGAACGCUGGCGGCAGGCCUAACACAUGCAAGUCGAGCGGCAGCGCGGGUGUAGCAAUACAUCUGGCGGCGAGCGGCGGACGGGUGAGGAAUACAUCGGAAUUUACCCAAUCGUGGGGGAUAACGUAGGGAAACUUACGCUGAUACCGCAUGAACUGGAGACAGCAAAGCGGCGGACCUUCGGGCGUCGCGCGGUUGGAUGAGCCGAUGUCGGAUUAGCAGUUGGCGGGGGUAAAGGCCCACCAAGGCGACGAUCCGUAGCUGGUCUGAGAGGAUGAUCAGCCACACUGGAACUGAGACACGGUCCAGACUCCUACGGGAGGCAGCAGUGGGGAAUAUUGG
rnacentral:rRNA from 1 species